rfam:Xylona heveae TC161 unplaced genomic scaffold L228scaffold_8, whole genome shotgun sequence.
GCUCGCAUGGCGUAGUUGGUAGCGCGCAUCACUAGUAUUCCUUUGCUAGAUUAUGAUGAGGUCCUCGGUUCGAAUCCGAGUGCGAGCA